GGGGGGGGCAAGCGUUGUUCGGAAUUACUGGGCGUAAAGGGCGCGUAGGCGGACGAGACAGUCUUUCGUGAAAUCCCACGGGCUCAACCGUGGAACUGCGGCAGAUACUACUCGUCUUGAGUUCGGGAGAGGAGUGUGGAAUUCCCAGUGUAGCGGUGAAAUGCGUAGAUAUUGGGAGGAACACCGGUGGCGAAGGCGGCACUCUGGACCGAUACUGACGCUGAGGCGCGAAAGCUAGGGGAGCAAACGGGAUUAGAUACCCCGGUAGUCCUAGCUGUAAACGAUGAGCACUUGGUGUAGCGGGUAUCGACCCCUGCUGUGCCGGAGUUAACGCAUUAAGUGCUCCGCCUGGGGAGUACGGUCGCAAAGGCUG
rnacentral:rRNA from 1 species